GUUGUGGCCUAGUGGCCUUGCCACAUCAGUGAUGGUGUAGCUUUAUGGCGGUAUGGUUCCUCCUGCCGUUGCAUUUAACCUUGAGGACCAUUGUUGUGGGGCUACGUCCUCAUCUCCACUCUCUGGUCCAAAUCCUUAUACGUACAAGUUCUGUUCGUCGUAGUUUUUAAAUUUCCUACCAUUGUAUCAUUUCUCUAGGGAUUGAUCAAGAAACUUUUCUAAGAAAAAUUAAUUGAUACGAUGCGUGAGAAAUUCAACGUACAAAAAAUUCAAGAAACAAAUGCAAGAAGCUUCUUCAAGUAUUUGAAUCAGCUCUCAAUGAAAGCACCAAUUUGUCGAUGCAAAUUUCCGCCGUCUUCAAUCUUGAUGAAAAUGCACCUGCAAAACAAUCAACACCUUUGAUCAAAGAUCUAAGCCUUACGCGCCCAUGAGGUGGGGUGGGGGGGGUUAGGCCAAUGGAUUUCUGAUGCCUAAGUCAGUUUCUCUGAGAGAGUAAAGUUUUUUGUGCUUUUUAAAGGUAGCAAAAGCUCUUAAAAUUUGGUAGAAUAUGGGGUAUUUAUAGGGAUAG
rnacentral:lncRNA from 1 species